rnacentral:rRNA from 1 species
CUUGGUCAUUUAGAGGAAGUAAAAGUCGUAACAAGGUUUCCGUAGGUGAACCUGCGGAAGGAUCAUUACAGAAUAUACUUAUUCUCACCCUAUGCAUACAGAACCUCUGUUGCCUCGGCGCACUUCUGCGUCAGAGGACCCAAACGCUGAAAUUAUACUGUCUGAGUUGCUAUGCAAAUAGUCAAAACUUUCAACAACGGAUCUCUUGGUUCGGGUAUUGAUGAAGAACGCAGCGAAAUGCGAUAAGUAAUGCGAAUUGCAGAAUUCAGUGAGUCUUGGUCAUUUAGAGGAAGUAAAAGUCGUAACAAGGUUUCCGUAGGUGAACCUGCGGAAGGAUCAUUAUUGAAUGAAACUUCUGGCUGGAUGCUGUUGUGCUGGCCCUUUGGUGCAAUGUGCACACACUUCUGGUUGUCUGUUUCUUCUGUUCCACCUGUGCACUGCCUGUAGACACUCUGUGUCUAUGAUAUUGGUUACACACACAUGAUGUUUUGCAUAUUGGUUACAUAUGUAUGAUAAUAUACAACUUUCAACAACGGAUCUCUUGGCUCUCGCAUCGAUGAAGAACACAGCGAAAUGUGAUAAGUAAUGUGAAUUGCAGAAUCCAGUGAAUCAUCGAAUCUUUGAACGCAUCUUGCGCUCCUUGGCAUUCCGAGGAGCAUGCCUGUUUGAGUGUCAUUAAACUAUCAAAGCACCUUUCCUGGGGUGUUUUGGACUUUGGGAGUAUUUUGCUGGCCUGUUUGAGCCAGCUCUCCUCAAAAGCAUUAGCUUUGGAGACCAUCAGUGUGAUAACUCUCUUUACACUGACUGAGUGUGUCUCUGCUUCUUAAAUAUGCUGGACACCCUUUGACCUCAAAUCAGGUAGGACUACCCGCUGAACUUAAGCAUAUCAAUAAGCGGAGGA